GAUGAAGAACGCAGCGAAAUGCGAUAAGUAAUGUGAAUUGCAGAAUUCAGUGAAUCAUCGAAUCUUUGAACGCACAUUGCGCCCGCCAGUAUUCUGGCGGGCAUGCCUGUUCGAGCGUCAUUUCAACCAUUAAGCCCCCGGCUUGUGUUGGGGACCUGCGGCUGCCGCAGGCCCUGAAAAGCAGUGGCGGGCUCGCUGUCACACCGAGCGUAGUAGCAUACAUCUCGCUCUGGGCGUGCUGCGGGUUCCGGCCGUUAAACCACCUUCAUAACCCAAGGUUGACCUCGGAUCAGGUAGGAAGACCCGCUGAACUUAAGCAUAUCAAUAAGCGGAGGA
rnacentral:misc_RNA from 1 species